GGCUCAGAUUGAACGCUGGCGGCAGGCCUAACACAUGCAAGUCGAACGGUAACAGGAAGAAGCUUGCUUCUUUGCUGACGAGUGGCGGACGGGUGAGUAAUGUCUGGGAAACUGCCUGAUGGAGGGGGAUAACUACUGGAAACGGUAGCUAAUACCGCAUAACGUCGCAAGACCAAAGAGGGGGACCUUCGGGCCUCUUGCCAUCGGAUGUGCCCAGAUGGGAUUAGCUAGUAGGUGGGGUAACGGCUCACCUAGGCGACGAUCCCUAGCUGGUCUGAGAGGAUGACCAGCCACACUGGAACUGAGACACGGUCCAGACUCCUACGGGAGACAGCAGUGGGGAAUAUUGCACAAUGGGCGCAAGCCUGAUGCAGCCAUGCCGCGUGUAUGAAGAAGGCCUUCGGGUUGUAAAGUACUUUCAGCGGGGAGGAAGGGAGUAAAGUUAAUACCUUUGCUCAUUGACGUUACCCGCAGAAGAAGCACCGGCUAACUCCGUGCCAGCAGCCGCGGUAAUACGGAGGGUGCAAGCGUUAAUCGGAAUUACUGGGCGUAAAGCGCACGCAGGCGGUUUGUUAAGUCAGAUGUGAAAUCCCCGGGCUCAACCUGGGAACUGCAUCUGAUACUGGCAAGCUUGAGUCUCGUAGAGGGGGGUAGAAUUCCAGGUGUAGCGGUGAAAUGCGUAGAGAUCUGGAGGAAUACCGGUGGCGAAGGCGGCCCCCUGGACGAAGACUGACGCUCAGGUGCGAAAGCGUGGGGAGCAAACAGGAUUAGAUUCCCUGGUAGUCCACGCCGUAAACGAUGUCGACUUGGAGGUUGUGCCCUUGAGGCGUGGCUUCCGGAGCUAACGCGUUAAGUCGACCGCCUGGGGAGUACGGCCGCAAGGUUAAAACUCAAAUGAAUUGACGGGGGCCCGCACAAGCGGUGGAGCAUGUGGUUUAAUUCGAUGCAACGCGAAGAACCUUACCUGGUCUUGACAUCCACGGAAGUUUUCAGAGAUGAGAAUGUGCCUUCGGGAACCGUGAGACAGGUGCUGCAUGGCUGUCGUCAGCUCGUGUUGUGAAAUGUUGGGUUAAGUCCCGCAACGAGCGCAACCCUUAUCCUUUGUUGCCAGCGGUCCGGCCGGGAACUCAAAGGAGACUGUUAGUGAUAAACUGGAGGAAGGUGGGGAUGACGUCAAGUCAUCAUGGCCCUUACGACCAGGGCUACACACGUGCUACAAUGGCGCAUACAAAGAGAAGCGACCUCGCGAGAGCAAGCGGACCUCAUAAAGUGCGUCGUAGUCCGGAUUGGAGUCUGCAACUCGACUCCAUGAAGUCGGAAUCGCUAGUAAUCGUGGAUCAGAAUGCCACGGUGAAUACGUCCCCGGGCCUUGUACACACCGCCCGUCACACCAUGGGAGUGGGUUGCAAAAGAAGUAGGUAGCUUAACCUUCGGGAGGGCGCUUACCACUUUGUGAUUCAUGACUGGGGUGAAGUCGUAACAAGGUAGCCGUAGAGUUUGAUCCUGGCUCAGUCGUAACAAGGUAGCCG
rnacentral:rRNA from 1 species